rnacentral:rRNA from 1 species
UACAGAGGUCCCAAGCGUUGUUCGGAUUCACUGGGCGUAAAGGGUGCGUAGGCGGUUUGAUAAGUCUGAUGUGAAAUCCCGUAGCUUAACUGCGGAACUGCAUUGGAGACUAUUUGACUAGAGGAAUGGAGGGGAGACUGGAAUACUUGGUGUAGCAGUGAAAUGCGUAGAGAUCAAGGGGAACACCAGUGGCGAAGGCGAGGCUCUGGACAUUUCCUGACGCUGAGGCACGAAAGCCAGGGGAGCAAACGGG